AUAGGUAGCUAUUAUAGUAGCUUAAAAGGGAAUCCGGUGCGAUACCGGAGCUGUUUCCGCAACUGUAAGUGCUGAUGAAAUAAGUAAUUGCCACUGUUUGAGGGACCGUUUGUUGGUCGUGUCAAAUGGGAAGGUUCUUAGAGUAAGAUGAUGCACAAGCCAGGAGACCUGCCUAUUUCU
rnacentral:ncRNA from 1 species